rnacentral:rRNA from 1 species
CAAAGGAAGCGAUUCCGGCGGGGGAUGGGCAUGCGGCGCAUUAGCUAGUCGGCGGGGUAACGGCCCACCGAGGCGACGAUGCGUAGGGGUUCUGAGAGGAAGGUCCCCCACACUGGUACUGAGACACGGACCAGACUCCUACGGGAGGCAGCAGUGAGGAAUAUUGGUCAAUGGGCGGGAGCCUGAACCAGCCAAGUCGCGUGAGGGAAGACGGUCCUACGGAUUGUAAACCUCUUUUGCCGGGGAGCAACGGGGUCCUUGCGAGGGCCCAAUGAGAGUACCCGGAGAAAAAGCAUCGGCUAACUCCGUGCCAGCAGCCGCGGUAAUACGGAGGAUGCGAGCGUUAUCCGGAUUUAUUGGGUUUAAAGGGUGCGUAGGCGGGCUGUUAAGUCAGCGGCCAAAUGUCGGGGCUCAACCCCGGCCUGCCGUUGAAACUGGCGGCCUCGAGUGGGCGAGAAGUAUGCGGAAUGCGUGGUGUAGCGGUGAAAUGCAUAGAUAUCACGCAGAACUCCGAUUGCGAAGGCAGCAUACCGGCGCCCGACUGACGCUGAGGCACGAAAGCGUGGGUAUCGAACAGGAUUAGAUACCCUGGUAGUCCACGCAGUAAACGAAGAAUGCUAGCUGUCCGGGACUUCGGUCCUGG